UAAGUUGCAUUCAGGUCGGCAGAGGGUGUCCUUGUGGAGCGGAGGGUGAGUAAUGCCUAGGAAAUUGCCCUGAUGUGGGGGAUAACCAUUGGAAACGAUGGCUAAUACCGCUGAUGCCUACGGGCAAAGAGGGGGACCUUCGGGCCUCUCGCGUCAGGAUAUGCUAGGUGGAUUAGCUAGUUGGGAKGUAAUGGCUCACCGGCACGACCCUAGCUGGCUGAAGGAUGAUCAGCCACCUGGAACUGAGACCGGUCAGACUCCUACGGGAGCAGCUGGGGAAUAUUGCACAAUGGGCGCAAGCCUGAUGCAGCAUGCCGCGGUAUGAAGAAGGCUUUCGGGUUGUAAAGUACUUUCAUCGUGAGGAAGGUGGUGUUGUUAAUAGCAGCAUCAUUUGACGUUAGCACAGAAGAAGCACCGGCUAACUCCGUGCCAGCAGCCGCGGUAAUACGGAGGUGCGAGCGUUAAUCGGAAUUACUGGCGUAAAGCGCAUGCAGGUGGUGGAUUAAGCAAUGUGAAAGCCCGGGGCUCAACCUCGGAACCGCAUUUGAAACUGGUUCACUAAGUACUGUAGAGGGGGGUAGAAUUUCAGGUGUAGCGUGAAAUGCGAGAGAUCUGAAGGAAUACCGUGGCGAAGGCGGCCCCCUGGACAGAUACUGACACUCAGAUGCGAAAGCGUGGGGAGCAAACAGGAUUAGAUACCCUGGUAGUCCACGCCGAAACGAUGUCUACUUGGAGGUUGUGGCCUUGACCGUGGCUUUCGGAGCUAACGCGUUAAGUAGACCGCUGGGGAGUACGUCGCAAGAUUAAAACUCAAUGAAUUGACGGGGGCCCGCACAAGCGGUGGAGCAUGUGGUUAAUUCGAUGCAACGCGAAGAACCUUACCUACUCUUGCAUCAAGAAGCCAGCGGAGACGCAGUGUGCUUCGGGAACUCUGAGACAGGUGCUGCAGGCUGUCGCAGCUCGUGGUGAAUUGGAAGUCCCGACGAGCGCACUCCUGGGCUAGCGAGUAGUCGACUCAGACUGCAUAACUGAAGCACGUCAAGUCACAUCUUA
rnacentral:rRNA from 1 species